rnacentral:ncRNA from 1 species
ACCCGAAAAAGGCAAACCGCUCGAAAGGGUGGGACGCAAAGCUACUGGCCUACUUCCUUUGUUAUAAGGAUAAGGCAGCAGGGCUGCCGGA